rnacentral:rRNA from 1 species
GUGCCAGCAGCCUGCGGUAAUUCCAGCUCCAAUAGCGUAUAUUAAAGUUGUUGUGGUUAAAAAGCUCGUAGUUGAACCUUGGGCCUGGCUGGCCGGUCCGCCUCACCGCGUGCACUGGUCCGGCCGGGCCUUUCCCUCUGUGGAACCCCAUACCCUUCACUGGGCGUGGCGGGGAAACAGGACAUUUACUUUGAAAAAAUUAGAGUGCUCCAGGCAGGCCUAUGCUCGAAUACAUUAGCAUGGAAUAAUAAAAUAGGACGCGCGGCUCUAUUUUGUUGGUUUAUAGGACCGCCGUAAUGAUUAAUAGGGACAGUCGGGGGCAUCAGUAUUCAACUGUCAGAGGUGAAAUUCUUGGAUCAGUUGAAGACUAACUACUGCGAAAGCAUUUGCCAAGGAUGUUUUCAUUAAUCAGGAACGAAAGUUAGGGGAUCGAAGACGAUCAGAUACCGUCGUAGUCUUAACCAUAAACUAUGCCGACUAGGGAUCGGACGGUGUUAUUCAUGACCCGUUCGGGCACCUUACGAGAAAUCAAAGUGCUUGGGCUCCAGGGGGAGUAUGGUCGCAAGGCUGAAACUUAAAGAAAUUGACGGAAGGGCACCACCCAGGGGUGGAGCCUGCGGCUUAAUUUGACUCAACACGGGGAAACUCACCAGGUCCAGACACAAUAAGGAUUGACAGAUUGAGAGCUCUUUCUUGAUUUUGUGGGUGGUGGUGCAUGGCCGUUCUUAGUUGGUGGGGGUGACUUUGUCUGCUUAAUUUGCGAUAAACGAACGAGACCUUAACCUGCUAAAAUAAG